UGCAAGUCGAGCGAUGAAGUUUCUUCGGAAAUGGAUUAGCGGCGAACGGGUGAGGAACACGUGAAGAAUCUGCCCUCCACUUUGGGAUAACACCGGGAAACCGGUGCUAAUACCGAAUAUUGAAACAUAAGUGGCAUCACUGAGUUUUGAAAGAAUUUCGGUGGAGGAUGACUUCGCGGCCUAUCAGCUAGUUGGUGAGGUAAUGGCUCACCAAGGCAACGACGGGUAGCCGGCCUGAGAGGGCGACCGGCCACACUGGGACUGAGACACGGCCCAGACUCCUACGGGAGGCAGCAGUGGGGAAUAUUGGGCAAUGGAGGAAACUCUGACCCAGCGACGCCGCGUGCGGGAUGAAGGCCUUCGGGUUGUAAACCGCUUUCAGUAGGGAAGAAGCGAAAGUGACGGUACCUACAAAAGAAGCACCGGCUAACUAUGUGCCAGCAGCCGCGGUAAUACAUAGGGUGCAAGCGUUGUCCGGAAUUAUUGGGCGUAAAGAGCUCGUAGGUCGUUUGUUACGUCGGAUGUGAAAACCUGAGGCUCAACCUCAGGCCUGCAUUCGAUACGGGCAAACUAGAGUUUGGUAGGGGAGACUGGAAUUCCUGGUGUAGCGGUGGAAUGCGCAGAUAUCAGGAGGAACACCAAUGGCGAAGGCAGGUCUCUGGGCCAAUACUGACACUGAGGAGCGAAAGUCUGGGGAGCGAACAGGAUUAGAUACCCUGGUAGUCCAGACCGUAAACGGUGGGCACUAGUUGUGGGAACCUUCCACGGUUUCUGCGACGCAGCUAACGCAUUAAGUGCCCCGCCUGGGGAGUACGAUCGCAAGAUUAAAACUCAAAGGAAUUGACGGGGCCCCGCACAAGCAGCGGAGCAUGCGGCUUAAUUCGACGCAACGCG
rnacentral:rRNA from 1 species